ACCGAUCAGAACAAAACAAAAUAAAUGCCCUUAAAAGGAAAGACGCAAUCAUUGGAGGAGCCAAAGCUCACCCAGGCAGCCUCCCUCCCGUCCCGCCCUGGCCCACAGCAGGGAGGAAAAGCUCUGUGCCUGCGAAGACACUGGGGUGGAUGUUUUUCCUCCUGAAGGAAAGCAUGGUUUGGGAGUCCCUCUCUCCCUGCCGGCCUCAUCUAGUGCUGGAUGACUGGAGAGUGCCCAUGGGUCUUGAACCACCGGACCAAUCGGCCUGGGCGGUUGGGAAGCCAGACUCGAAGGAAUCGCUGGGCUAAAGCCAGCCCUAAAGAAUUUUUUUAAAAAGACCGUAAUAUGUGUUUAUGGAAGAAUGAUGCAACUAUAUUUUAAGCAACCACCUAUCCUUCCGCCCUGAUUCUCAGAGCAUGCUUUGCACCACUCCACACUGACCUGCAAAGAACUUUAUGGUCCAUCACUUCACUCACAUUUAGCCAGAUUACAAACUGCUCUGGUAAACACUGCUGCCAAACUACCCAUUACAUUCCGCGGCUUACGUUCUGGAGAGAUCCCUGAAGACCUAGCAGUCAAAGGUGGCAAAGCAAAGGCAGCGGCUUCAGGGGCAGAAAUCAACCACAAAUUUAACCCUACCCUGGCCCAGGGCGCUAGCUCGGCCGCAGUGGAGAACAUAAUUUGGUUGCUUGUACAUCAAGACUGGCUGAUCUCAGAAGCUGUGGAGAAGCAGCUUAAGUUCUCAAAUGCAUUUGAAGUGUUUUCCUGAGAACAAGAUGAAAACAAAGAGACCCCAGAGUUCAGUGAGCAAAGGGCAGACUUUUACCUCAUUGCCAGGACUUUGCUGCUCAGAGGGGGUGAGAAAAGCAGGUGGCACAGUUCUUAGAACAAAUGAAAGGCAUCUGGAAUGCUGAAUACACCUGCCGAGGAGGGCAGACAGCAGACAGGUAAUGCAAGAGCCUUAACACCGCCCCAGGGGACGCUGUUUGGCAAAACUGUCACACAGUUUAAGAUGACAUGGUGUAACAGAGCCCUCUCUGUGUCCCCCCCCACACACACACACACCCGGUCCCUGAGCAUCUAUUAGCAACUGCCAGGCAGACACUGACAGGCCGCAGUACCCGCCUUCCCUCACCACGUCCCUCCCUUUUCGCCUGCAAUAUUGAAAAUGGCAUAAAACCAGAGAAGAUGGAAAAACUAAGUAAAAAUAAAAGAAAAAAUUACUCUGAA